CUAUCCCGAGUGCCAUCCGCUGAGGAGGCUUUUACCGUAUAAAUAGCUGGGAGAAUAAGGAGAGGGCAAGUCUGGUGUCAGCCGCCGCGGUAAUACCAGCUCUCCGAGUAGUGUGGAUGUUUAUUGGGCCUAAAGCAUCCGUAGCUUGCUAGAUAAGUCCCCUGUUAAAUCCACCGAUUCAAUCGAUGGAUUGCGGGGGAUACUGUUUGGCUAGGGGACGGGAGAGGUCGACGGUAUUUCCGGGGUAGGGGUGAAAUCCUAUAAUCCCGGGAAGACCACCAGUGGCGAAGGCUGUCGACUAGAACGCGCCCGACGGUGAGGGAUGAAAGCUGGGGGAGCGAACCGGAUUAGAUACCCGGGUAGUCCCAGCUGUAAACGAUGCAGGCUAGGUGUUUGGGCGGCCACGAGCCGCCCUAGUGCCGCAAAGAAGUUGUUAAGCCUGCCGCCUGGGGAGUACGGCCGCAAGGCUGAAACUUAAAGGAAUUGGCGGGGGAGC
rnacentral:rRNA from 1 species